GAUUUCUUCUCGUUGGUGACCAGCGGAGGGUCAUUACCGAGUUUACAACUCCCAAACCCCUGUGAACAUACCUUAUGUUGCCUCGGCGGAUCAGCCCGCGCCCCGUAAAAAGGGACGGCCCGCCGCAGGAACCCUAAACUCUGUUUUUAGUGGAACUUCUGAGUAUAAAAAACAAAUAAAUCAAAACUUUCAACAACGGAUCUCUUGGUUCUGGCAUCGAUGAAGAACGCAGCAAAAUGCGAUAAGUAAUGUGAAUUGCAGAAUUCAGUGAAUCAUCGAAUCUUUGAACGCACAUUGCGCCCGCCAGUAUUCUGGCGGGCAUGCCUGUUCGAGCGUCAUUUCAACCCUCAAGCCCAGCUUGGUGUUGGGAGCUGCAGUCCUGCUGCACUCCCCAAAUACAUUGGCGGUCACGUCGAGCUUCCAUAGCGUAGUAAUUUACACAUCGUUACUGGUAAUCGUCGCGGCCACGCCGUUAAACCCCAACUUCUGAAUGUUGACCUCGGAUCAGGUAGGAAUACCCGCUGAACUUAAGCAUAUCAAA
rnacentral:rRNA from 1 species